CCAAGCGAAAGUGAUAAGUAUCCCAACCUGGGGAGUACGUUCGCAAGAAUGAAACUCAAAGGAAUUGACGGGGGCCCGCACAAGCGGUGGAGCAUGUGGUUUAAUUCGAUGAUACGCGAGGANCCUUACCAGGGCUUAAAUGUAGUCUGACAGAUUUGGAAACAGAUCCUUCUUCGGACAGAUUACAAGGUGCUGCAUGGUUGUCGUCAGCUCGUGCCGUGAGGUGUCAGGUUAAGUCCUAUAACGAGCGCAACCCCUGUUGUUAGUUGCCAGCGAGUCAUGUCGGGAACUCUAACAAGACUGCCAGUGCAAACUGUGAGGAAGGUGGGGAUGACGUCAAAUCAUCACGGCCCUUACGCCCUGGGCCACACACGUGCUACAAUGGCAGGUACAAUGGGCAGCCACUGCGCAAGCAGGAGCGAAUCCACAAAACCUGUCUCAGUUCGGAUCGGGGUCUGCAACUCGACCCCGUGAAGCUGGAAUCGCUAGUAAUCGGAUAUCAGCCAUGAUCCGGUGAAUACGUUCCCGGGCCUUGUACACACCGCCCGUCAAGCCAUGGAAGCUGGAAGCACCUGAAGUCCGUCACCGCAAGGAGCGGCCUAGGGUGAAGCUGGUAACUGGGGCUAAGUCGUAACAAGGUAGC
rnacentral:rRNA from 1 species